rnacentral:piRNA from 1 species
UCCAUGGACCUACCCAAAGAGAUAAGCAAAU